UACUGGCAACGUGCAUCAACCAGGCCGGAGAUUCUCUUCGCGCAAUCAAUAAUAUGUUGUGAGGCACACGACCAACGCUCACCAGUGAGGGACACUCUCAUGAGAAGCACGACUAGACUUGCUCCAAAAAGUCGAAGGUUCCCGGUCGAGAGCUCUCGUCCAACAGUGACAAGCUAUGCAAUUUGGCUAGGUGCACGAAUUCCAACUAGCGACAAGGCAUUCUUUCUGGUGACACACUCGACCGGCUCCUCCCAGCACAGCCAGCUCCUCCUUUUGCGAUCAGCUUCCCCACCUGCGAUCAACACAGGAUUCUUAAAAUGCAGCACAGAGAAGCUUUUGUACAAACUCGCUGUUCUAAAGCUUAAUGGAGGAAUGGGAAGACAAUGGGCUGCACUGGACCCAAAGCCAAUAUCCUCAUCUGGUUGUUGAGGAUUUUACUCCAUUGCCAAGCAACAGGCAGACCGAGCAAGGAAUACAUAUUUAUUACCAACUCAGAUAACUUUGGUGCUAUAGUUGAUUUGAAAAUCUUAAAUCAUUUGAUUAGAAACAAGAAUGAAUACUGCAUGGAGGGACACUGAAUACCGUGGCUGAUGUAAAGGGUGGUACUCUCAUCUCCUAUGAAGGAAAGGUUCAGCUAUAUAUUUAUUGCGACAUACUUUUCUUUCGACAGCAAUGAGCAUAGAUCUUCAAAAUAUCAUAUUAUGGUAUACUAAGAAUCAAUCAAAUACUAGUGUCAUAAAUACUGCUUCAUUUUGCAAAGUUUUUUAUGUUUCAACUUCAUUUGAUGUGUCCUGGAAAUAUUUGCAAACCCAAAUUUUUUCACAUCUAAGUUUAGGAUCUCCACCUCUUAAAUCAAAUUUUGCACAAGGUGUAAGAAUCUAGCUCUCUUGCUUUGCUUCUUGUUUGUAUUCACACUGCAAUUCCCUUUUUACAAAUCAUAAAAUUUCAAUUUUUUACUCUCGCAAAUAUUAAAGUAAUCCUUUAGAAAUAAUUUAUUCUUUAGAAUGUAGACUAACAACCUUAUAAAGUUUGUGCCCUUGUUUUAUAAAUUAGACUUUUCAUUAACUUCUUUUAAGGAGCAAUUUGAUUGAUUGAAAAUAGGUUUUUGAAUUGGAUUGGAAUUAGAUGACUUGAAAGAGCUAGCUUUACGAUCCUUGGUUGAGCACUUCCUUAAGGUGAGCUUGUUCUAUUUUUAUCCCACAAUAACUGCUAAAAGACCAUAAAUGAUAGCUUGUAUUGUUGUUGAAUCUCUAUUUAUUUUGGUUGAAUUUUGAGGUUCAUGCACGAUAUCAUGCUUUACUUAUAAUUUAUUGAUGUGGAUUAUUCUCUUUAUUAAUAUAUAAUUUUUUUGGACAUGCUAUUAAAUAAUACAGUUGGUACAAAAUACAAUUUUGUGGAGAAAAUAUUUUAAUUUUUGAAAAUUGAUGAAAAAUACAGAAAAUUGAUUUAGAAAUAUUAU